UAGCCGUAAACGAUACUCGCUAGGUGUCGGCCACGGUGCGACCGUUGUCGGUGCCGUAGGGAAGCCGUGAAGCGAGCCACCUGGGAAGUACGGCCGCAAGGCUGAAACUUAAAGGAAUUGGCGGGGGAGCACCACAACGGGUGGAGCUUGCGGUUUAAUUGGAUUCAACGCCGGAAAUCUUACCGGGACCGACAGCAACAUGAAGGCCAGACUGAAGACUUUGCCGGAUUAGCUGAGAGGAGGUGCAUGGCGUAGUCGUGU
rnacentral:rRNA from 1 species